rnacentral:lncRNA from 1 species
UGUAUUAAAGAAAAGGAUAUUAUUUUGUUGUUGUUGUUGUUUUGUUUUUUUGUAAUUUUGUUUAAAUACGAUUUUUAACGUAACUCGUUAUCCUUAUCGAAAGUAAUCGUCGGUUUCGGACAAAGUUAUCCCCCCUCCCCUGCCCCCACUACCAUUUUUUUCGAAUAUUGCGAAUACGCGGUGAAACGAAGAUAACAAAUAUUUUGUUUUCUCCUUUUGUUUUUAUCUUUAUUUUUAAAACCAUAACGGUGUAACAGUAGUCAACGGAUUAGCCACGUUGGAUUAGAGCAAACGAUAAAAAGUCGCACGACCUUUUAGGUUGCUAUUGGAUAGGUUUGAGAUAGGUAUUAAUAAAGAAAUGACUCGAACUCAUAUAAAAAGAAAAAAAAAGGGAGAGUAUUAGUAUAAGAAAAAACAAUUGCAAUUAAUCAUUCUAAACAACAAAAAAGAACCAUCAAUUUUCCAUAAAACUUAGUUAUCCCGAUAAACAAUGAAAUAACAUCUAAUCGUAUUAAAUAAUUCUCAAUUAAUAUUCUCCAAAAUGAUAAUAAAAAAUUGCAAUUGGAUAGGUUUGAGAUAGGUAUUAAUAAAGAAAUGACUUGAACUCA